rnacentral:sRNA from 1 species
UAUAAAAAAUGUCGUCAAUGACCAAACAGGCAGGGGAUUUAUACCUUGUACUGGAUGGACAUUCGACGUCCUAACCUGUAUGAGCAAGUAAGGCAUUUACCUAGAUUGCGAAUACGAGCUGCGAUGUCGAGAGUGCACAACACGAAGACAUCGGCUUUUAUA